UACCUGUUUUCCAUCCACCAAUCACGAGCCUGCAGUAUGUCUACCUGGCUCUUCACUCCAGUCUUUGCCAGAUCGUCUGUUUGCCUACGUGGUAUUACGCUUCGGUCGCAGAGCCUCUGCGCUAGAGUUUUCGCCUGUUUGUACUUGUCUCGUUUAAUUCUAUGCUUCCCUGUGCUCAGGUUAACCGCUCGGCUCAAAUCCUGGAUCCUGAUUGCUUCACCUGCUCCAGCCAGCUGCCCUACUCUGCCUGCUCCACCGGACAUACAGCCAUUCUCCACACCCGCCUUGCUCAGCGUCUUGGACCGGCCCAGCUCACUCAGUUUACCCUCUUUACCCAAGUGUCAGAUAAACUGAGGUUUUCUCUGUACGCUAAGUCCUGUCAGGAUUUGCUUUUGGGUCCAGAUUCCCCUGUGUCUUAUAACAUCAAGUAUCUGUAUCAGGACUGACACGGAUCAAAAACCUCUCCAAAAGUCUAAAUGGAUGUAAUGAACUUCAAAAUGUGGUCACCUGAUCCAUAAUCAACCUCUGGAGUCUUUAACAAGCACAUCUGUCUGCUCAGCUAUUGAUGGUUUGUUUUGUAGGCCUGGUGAAAAGCGGAGUGCUAAUGAGGUUUUCCCCAGCUCCAGCCAGGCAGGGCACCACUCAACCAUUAAGUCAAUUAAGAGUAGACUGGGGCUCCUUUAAUUUGGUUCUAAUUAAAGUGCAGGAAGUGAAACAGCAGCGCUCACCUACCUACCUUCAGGCUGAACGGGCUUUCUUGUGCUCUCUGGAAGCCAUUAGCACAUGUGGCCUCACUGGAUGGAUUGAGCAUUUACUGGGUUUUACAGAGCUCAUAACAGCGUGUCAUCACAAGUUAGAUGAAGAAUUUAUUGUCUGUGAAGAAGACCGUUGCUCUCUUCCACGGCCUCUGAAAAGACUUUCUUUUGGCGGAUCUUCUUCCACAGUUUAUAAAGGUAAUUGCUGAGCUCUGGGAAUGCAGUGACAUCGCUAAAAAGAAGUCGACGGGGCAACAGACAGGAGCAGUCACACAAUCGGACAGGUUGUGAACAAACCCCAGUUCACACUCGGGUCCAUCUGGUGGCAGGUGGUUCAGAGCAGCUGAAUAGGCAGCGGUCCAGACUCUCCUCCUCACCCAUCACACAUGGCUAACUUAUCAGAACAGACAUAAUGAAAGCAGCAACGACACUCACCGUGCCUGUAAUCUCUGUCAGGGAUGAGACUUUGAUUCACAGACGCUUUCAGCACAUUUGUCGACAUUUUUUUCCCCCAUUUUCCCCUCCUUUCCUGUUGGGUUCUGUGGCGGCUUGGCAUUGUCUGUUUGUGUGUGUGUGUGUGUGUGUGUGUGUGUGUGUGUGUGUGUGUGUCCUCACACAGACGGGGUGGGCUGGCAGAGGUCACGGUUCGCCGGCCCGCCUAGAUCCAUCAAGAGGAACAAAGCAGGGGGAGAAGGAGCAGUGCCAAGCCCCCCUGAAAUCAAAGACCAGGUUUGGGAUUGGGAUUCGCUCCAAAAGGCUGGACCCAUUUUGGUAGUGCAGGGGGUCUCGGGCAGCCAGGGGGAGGAGGAGGAGGAGGAGGUUAAAAACAAUAAUCAAAUCCACCACAGCGUCUGAGGACUGGGCCGGUUGAGAGAGCUGGCUGAAGCCUCUGCGUGCAGCAUCCCUUCUCGUCCCUCCCCUUUGAAGUCUGCUUGCUUUUGUUCUUUACAUAACUUGAUCGGAUAUUUGAAAGGCUAAUUUGUAUGCAUUCUGUGAGUGGGGGCUGGAGGGACUAAGGCAGAACCGCCCGCCACCCAGAAUUCCACAGGGGUGCUGACAGGAAGGUCAACACGAUUGGCCACAGGGGGAAAUGGGGGACACAAGCAAGCCAGAAGCAUAUGAUAAGUGUCUUUGAAUUAUUGCAGCUCUGUCCAAAUUUGAUGACAAUGGCAAAGUGGUCGGGGGGGCUGAAAUCCCUUUGCACACAGAGACCACACAUGCUUUGGUGGUCUUCAUUUUGCUGUCAGCUUCCCCACUGGACGAUACAGCAAUAGGCUGCGAAGGCAAAUAUGAAUAAACACUUCAAAGGAGCUCUGAUACGGCUGAUUUCGGAGCUGGACCCUCCAAAUGUUGUACUUUUAUUUUUGUGCUUUUUAUUCAGUGUACUAUUCAGCUCCAAACAACCAACAUACUUCAUCUGAAUUAAACUCAGUUGUUGGACA